ensembl:lncRNA
AGAUGUCACCAAUAUUGAUUGGAAAGCCUCCAGAUAUCUUCAGGGUGAGAAUUUCCUAGGAGUUGCUCUCAUCUUUGGUGUGACAGCUGUGCCAGGAGCACUGAUUUGUGAUGAUGGCAGAGAGGAAGACUCCUUCUGUAGGGCUUUCUGAGCCUGCCAGUCUGCUGAAAACCGGACUUUCCUGGCAGACCUUCACCAAGACGCAGUCCAAGCUGGUUCAGCUCUUGCAGGAUCAGACCCAGAGCAUACAUUCAUCAUAAAGAAAUCCAGUCUGUGUGCUCUAAGAUCAAUUCAUGUUGCAAAGUGAAGUGCAGUAAAGUGGGAACUACCAGCAGGCUCCCCUCAAUACAAGUGCCCUCCUGAUCUGAACUAAAGCCUCCUUCAGAAUAUCUCUAAGGCUAUUAGGAAGAUUAGAUUCCUAUAUUUAGGGCAUGUUUAGUAUCCCAUCUGUGCCUCAGUUUGGCCUGUUCUAUGAACAACUUGAGCUUUCUAGUUUAGCUUAAAAAUGCUUAAAUGCAUUUAAUGUGCCCUUUAUCCAACCUUUGGUGGAAGUACCAUCACUUCUUCCUCCUUCAUUAAGAAGGCUUUGCUGCUCUGCCCAACCUUGUCUUCCUCUCUGAUCCAGAUCUUUUCUUGCCCUUCUAUAUCUAUCUCAUUUCUGUCUGUUUCUCCAUUCCCUUCAUCACUUUUUUUUCCCCCUUGUCCUUCCUGACCUUGAACCUAAUCUUUGGUUGAGGACUGACGCUUUAAGCCAUACGAAGGAUUCAUACAUGCCUGGUAUGAGAAGCCUUAAUAUUCAUUCAUACUACUCAUCCUAGCUUCUUUUUGGAGGUGUUCUUAUUUUUUUUUUUUUUUAAUCUGUCCUUACAUAAUUUGAUUUCUGGAAAGACUUGUCAUUUUAUUUUAAUUUUUGUAUGUACUUGGACCACUGUAAAUAUAAAAUACCAUGCUAGCACUAACACAGCUGGAACUUCGAGGUCCUAUUUGCAAGUCUAGUUCAAGAGAACAUUUGGAAAUACUGAACAACUAUGCUUAAUUGCUUCUUGUUAGUACAUGUUUUUUUUCCUCUUUCAGGAGAAAACUAAAAACAGUGAGUCUUUUUAAUUGUUUAAGUACUUCUGUGGUUAUAUGUUGGGAAAAAAAAACAACCCCAAAAAACUCAAGGCUUCUUAAAACAAAGUGUUAGCACUUACAGGUGAUGUUUUUAUAGGGAACUUCCUCAGUAAUUCUGUCAAAAUGGACACUACACAUGGAGUUUUCCAUUUCAGCAAAAAUCUCCUUUCCAUUCGAACCUCUGGUGGUAAUUCUAGACAAACCUGAGUCAAAAGGUUCAAUCUUUUUUAACACAAUUAAAAAUGUGGUUACUGCUCAUUGUGAUUUUACAAUUCAGUCAUUAGAUGGUGCUCAUGAGAUUAAAUUCACUGUUUGCUUGUCUUUUCAGUUUUUAUUUUAAUAAGCUGUAGACUACAGAGAGUUUGCGUUUACAUCUUCACAAAAUGCAUUUAACAUGGCUCUGUACUAACUAAAAUUUGUGGAAGAUUUACUACUCCUUUUGAUGCAAGAUCUUUACCAAUUAACUGCCUUGAUGAAAAACAUGCCACAAACUACUGUAUUGUUAGACACAAACCGAAAACAUAACCGCUGUUUUGGCAUAUAAAUCAAUCUGAAAAAAUUCAGUGCUAUAAUGUCAGCAUGCUAUUAACAAAGAAUAAAGCAAUGACUUUGUAGUACUUUGUAGUAAAGUAACUAUAAAAUUUGUGAAACACACCUGAGGGCUUACUUCUAGUAGUUAAAAAUAUAAGAGCUUUAACAAUAAGAAAGUUUUCCCUAUGAAUUUAUCAUUUUGUUUCUUUGUACUGGAACAAAGUUAUUUUUGAAAAGUGACCCGGUUCAUAUUUAAUACUAAAAUGAAUGCAACGUGAAGAUGGACCCCUUGCAUAAUGUAACUGAAACAUGAAUUUCAUUACUAUAACUAUGUGAGUGAAUGAUCAUUUUUGUAGCCUUCAUUUUGGGUGAUGCUCACAUCUGUCUGGUAAUUGAAACACAAUAAAAAGCACAAGACAGCAGAGGAGCAAGGCCUCAUGCCACAUUAAUGAGAAUCUUCUCUGAUGUAACAGCAAUAGGCAAAGAAAUAAGAUAAUUUCAAACAAACAAACAAACAAACAAACAAACAAACAACUGCUUACCUUCAGAAAACCUACAUAGUCCUCAGGUAAACAGGGAUCUCUAGAAGAA